rnacentral:rRNA from 1 species
UCGAUUCCCUUAGUAGCGGCGAGCGAAACGGGAAGAGCCCAAACCAACAAGCUUGCUUGUUGGGGUUGUAGGACACUCUAUACGGAGUUACAAAGGACGACAUUAGACGAAUCAUCUGGAAAGAUGAAUCAAAGAAGGUAAUAAUCCUGUAGUCGAAAAUGUUGUCUCUCUUGAGUGGAUCCUGAGUACGACGGAGCACGUGAAAUUCCGUCGGAAUCUGGGAGGACCAUCUCCUAAGGCUAAAUACUCUCUAGUGACCGAUAGUGAACCAGUACCGUGAGGGAAAGGUGAAAAGCACCCCGGAAGGGGAGUGAAAUAGAACCUGAAACCGUGUGCUUACAAGUAGUCAGAGCCCGUUAAUGGGUGAUGGCGUGCCUUUUGUAGAAUGAACCGGCGAGUUACGAUUUGAUGCAAGGUUAAGCAGUAAAUGUGGAGCCGUAGCGAAAGCGAGUCUGAAUAGGGCGUUUAGUAUUUGGUCGUAGACCCGAAACCAGGUGAUCUACCCUUGGUCAGGUUGAAGUUCAGGUAACACUGAAUGGAGGACCGAACCGACUUACGUUGAAAAGUGAGCGGAUGAACUGAGGGUAGCGGAGAAAUUCCAAUCGAACCUGGAGAUAGCUGGUUCUCUCCGAAAUAGCUUUAGGGCUAGCCUCAAGUGAUGAUUAUUGGAGGUAGAGCACUGUUUGGACGAGGGGCCCCUCUCGGGUUACCGAAUUCAGACAAACUCCGAAUGCCAAUUAAUUUAACUUGGGAGUCAGAACAUGGGUGAUAAGGUCCGUGUUCGAAAGGGAAACAGCCCAGACCACCAGCUAAGGUCCCAAAAUAUAUGUUAAGUGGAAAAGGAUGUGGCGUUGCCCAGACAACUAGGAUGUUGGCUUAGAAGCAGCCAUCAUUUAAAGAGUGCGUAAUAGCUCACUAGUCGAGUGACACUGCGCCGAAAAUGUACCGGGGCUAAACAUAUUACCGAAGCUGUGGAUUGUCCUUUGGACAAUGGUAGGAGAGCGUUCUAAGGGCGUUGAAGCAUGAUCGUAAGGACAUGUGGAGCGCUUAGAAGUGAGAAUGCCGGUGUGAGUAGCGAAAGACGGGUGAGAAUCCCGUCCACCGAUUGACUAAGGUUUCCAGAGGAAGGCUCGUCCGCUCUGGGUUAGUCGGGUCCUAAGCUGAGGCCGACAGGCGUAGGCGAUGGAUAACAGGUUGAUAUUCCUGUACCACCUAUAAUCGUUUUAAUCGAUGGGGGGACGCAGUAGGAUAGGCGAAGCGUGCGAUUGGAUUGCACGUCUAAGCAGUAAGGCUGAGUAUUAGGCAAAUCCGGUACUCGUUAAGGCUGAGCUGUGAUGGGGAGAAGACAUUGUGUCUUCGAGUCGUUGAUUUCACACUGCCGAGAAAAGCCUCUAGAUAGAAAAUAGGUGCCCGUACCGCAAACCGACACAGGUAGUCAAGAUGAGAAUUCUAAGGUGAGCGAGCGAACUCUCGUUAAGGAACUCGGCAAAAUGACCCCGUAACUUCGGGAGAAGGGGUGCUCUUUAGGGUUAACGCCCAGAAGAGCCGCAGUGAAUAGGCCCAAGCGACUGUUUAUCAAAAACACAGGUCUCUGCUAAACCGUAAGGUGAUGUAUAGGGGCUGACGCCUGCCCGGUGCUGGAAGGUUAAGAGGAGUGGUUAGCUUCUGCGAAGCUACGAAUCGAAGCCCCAGUAAACGGCGGCCGUAACUAUAACGGUCCUAAGGUAGCGAAAUUCCUUGUCGGGUAAGUUCCGACCCGCACGAAAGGCGUAACGAUUUGGGCACUGUCUCAACGAGAGACUCGGUGAAAUCAUAGUACCUGUGAAGAUGCAGGUUACCCGCGACAGGACGGAAAGACCCCGUGGAGCUUUACUGUAGCCUGAUAUUGAAAUUCGGCACAGCUUGUACAGGAUAGGUAGGAGCCUUUGAAACGUGAGCGCUAGCUUACGUGGAGGCGCUGGUGGGAUACUACCCUAGCUGUGUUGGCUUUCUAACCCGCACCACUUAUCGUGGUGGGAGACAGUGUCAGGCGGGCAGUUUGACUGGGGCGGUCGCCUCCUAAAAGGUAACGGAGGCGCUCAAAGGUUCCCUCAGAAUGGUUGGAAAUCAUUCAUAGAGUGUAAAGGCAUAAGG